UCAAACCCUAAAAGCAUUGCAAGUGUGGCUGCAGUGUCACAUGUACAUCAGAGGGUGGUAGAAAGGAGAGAGGCAAUGCCUGUGCUCAGUGUUCUGACUUAUAAGCACCUGGAUGACUAGUAGCCCAACAUU